rnacentral:rRNA from 1 species
UCCUACGGGAGGCAGCAGUGGGGAAUAUUGGACAAUGGGCGAAAGCCUGAUCCAGCCAUGCCGCGUGUGUGAAGAAGGUCUUCGGAUUGUAAAGCACUUUAAGUUGGGAGGAAGGGCAGUAAGUUAAUACCUUGCUGUUUUGACGUUACCAACAGAAUAAGCACCGGCUAACUUCGUGCCAGCAGCCGCGGUAA